UACGUAGGGAGCGAGCGUUGUCCGGAAUUACUGGGCGUAAAGGGUGCGUAGGCGGUUUGGUAAGUCAGAUGUGAAAUACCCGGGCUUAACCCGGGGGCUGCAUCUGAUACUGUCAGACUUGAGUGCAGGAGAGGAAAGCGGAAUUCCUAGUGUAGCGGUGAAAUGCGUAGAUAUUAGGAGGAACACCAGUGGCGAAGGCGGCUUUCUGGACUGUAACUGACGCUGAGGCACGAAAGCGUGGGGAGCAA
rnacentral:rRNA from 1 species